rnacentral:lncRNA from 1 species
AUGUCAGCUCGCCGGUUCGUGCAGUGUUUAAUCCUAGUCGUGGAUGAUAAGAUUACAAGCCAUACAGUCGCUGAGUUCUCAGGCCAAAGCGCCGAUAACCCCUCCGAUCAGUCAGAGUCGGUUUCGGAAUGGCUAUCCAGUCCCACAACAAGCGAAUAUGUAGCACAACUUCAAGAGACUCCACGCCACAGCGCCGGUGGCCCUCCUGAAGAAGUGGCUCAGUUGGAUUCGUUAUGGCGUCACAGUCUCUCAACAAGGGAAUUUUUUGCACAACUUCAGGCACGUAGAUCCCAGCAGUUUGGCAGCUCCUCCUCCAGCCCAUUCCAAGAUCGAAGGACAAGAGAAAAACGCCGGCGAUUUUUCAUCGUUGUGCCCGGAAUCUUGGUGACAGAACAUCCGACCAUUCGACAACAGCUGCGAAAUUGGAACAUCCGCGUUCUCGACGAAGAAGCCGUAUCGUCCAUCUCUCCCAAGGCGACAGUUUCCAUGAUCGAGAUUUUGCUCAACACAAGCAGCACAUGCCCUCUCAGUAUUCUAUACUCUGCACCCGUUUAUUCGAAACCGGCCAGUGAGCAGGACUCGGAGUUCUUUAAGUACGCGACACGUCGUGCAAACGACAGUAUAAUCCGCGAUCUCUUCCGCGUAAGUCGGGUUCUCAUCGAACCACACGAGCACAGCACUGCCCAAUCUGCAUUCGAUAAUGAAAAUCUGAGUAUUCUCAACAGUUUUUUAAGCAGAAGAACUAGGCACUCUUCUUGGCAAACUCGAGAUUAUCCACAAUACUGGGUCGCACAAGCCUUCGCCAAAAAGUCCGAUAAAGAACUGAUGACCCAGCUUCUGAACAUCGCCGUUAGGUUGGAUCACGUAGCACUCCUGAAUUUGUUGGCGAGGCAUGACGUGUGUAUUGAUUCUCCUAUGGCUCUGCGCCUAGCUGUUUUGGCCGGUGCUUCUUCUGUGGUUGAGUUUCUGGUUGAGAUCGGCGUCGACGUCAACGAACCCAAUUCCGUCAAUAUCACGCCGCUCGGGUUGAUUGUCAACGCCGAGCCGGACGUUCUUUUCAGUGUGAACGUAACGAGGAUGUUGGUAAAGUACGGGGCCAAUCUGUUCGCACAUGUCGCCCCGUCGUGUUCCAGGUCGAUCUUGAAAGACGCUUGCUUGAAGAAGAAACGAGAGUUGUUCUCGUUCUUCCUCGAGAGUUGCUUUGUGAAUCCUACGAUGUUCAAAGACGUCCCGGCGCACAGAGCUUUUUUGCGGUGUAUUGCUGAUGGUGCCUUCGAAAAAUCCCCCGACUUUCGCGAUAUGUUUGCCCAACACCUUGUCAAGAUAGCCGCCCUCUUUUGCAGCUCGGAAUUCGACGAGGAUCUUUCAUCUGUGUGGUCCAAGGAUCCAACCGGUCUCGCUGUAUUCAGGAGCGAGUGCGAAUCAGAACUUCUACAACUGAAAACCGCCAUGGUCCACAAUACUGACGUACCCCUUUUAGAUCUGCUGAGGAGCCCAGAUCGCCGAGUUUCACGUCUUCUCGGUAACAAAUCUGUCACUCGUGGAAUCGAAUCCCUCAAUCUAAUCCAUGAGUUUCCUCACUAUGGUAACAUUCUGAAGGAACGAGUGGAAAAAUGUAAGAGCUUCAACUUGUGCUUGAAGGAAGCUUGUAAAAGCUUAGAUUAUUUCUUGUCCCCGCGUUCGAUAGACUUACCAGUCGAAAUUAAGGAACUCAUUUUUGGUUAUCUCCGUUUCGUCGAUCUUGUAAGGUUGAAGAGAGCCGCACAUGCCAGAAAUGCUCGAUCACCCUCGCACCCAGGUGUGUGA